rnacentral:rRNA from 1 species
GACAGGGGUGCCAAGCGUUAGGCGGAAUCACUGGGCUUAAAGCGUGUGUAGGCGGAUUUGUAAGUACCUUGUGAAAUCCCACGGCUUAACCGUGGAACUGCUCGGUAUACUGCGAAUCUUGGGCCAUCUAGGGGCGAGCGGAACAAGUGGUGGAGCGGUGAAAUGCGUAGAUAUCACUUGGAACGCCAAUGGUGAAAACAGCUCGCUGGGGAUGUGCCGACGCUGAGACACGAAAGCCAGGGGAGCGAACGGG